GUUGAUGUAGCUUAAUCAGUAAAGCAAGGCACUGAAAAUGCCAAGAUGAGUCAUAAGACUCCAUAAACA
rnacentral:tRNA from 1 species